UCUUUUUUUUUUUUUUUUUUUUUUUUUUGUUAAACAUUCGUUUUCGAUAGUAGAGUCGCAGGUCACGCAAGGAGGAUAAAGCCUUUCCUGGAACUCAAAAAUGUAACUAUUGUCGUACGUUGUAUUUUAAUUAAUUUAUCGAACUAAAAUCUUAAAAUUUUGCUCUUGAAAUACGCAAUAAAAAUGUUUGACAACGUUCGGAAAUCGAUAGAGUCUCAAUUUCUAAGUCAUUAUUAUGUUAAAGUUCCACUUUUUAUGUAGUAAUUAAACUUUAUUAGAAUUUCAAUUCUUUUUAUUAUUAAAAUUUCAAGUUUGAUUAGAGUUUUAUUCUUCAUUGUUUUAAGUUUUCUAACCAUCACAAGUACGUUUUCAAGAACAGAUCAUAAUAUUUAACAUGUUUUGUUACAGGUUUUUCAUAACUUCCAUUUUUUUAUUCUUCUUUGGGAAGGAUGUAGCGGUGUUUUAAAUUUAAGCAUGUAUGUCACUUCUUCCCCUUCUUCCUGUUCUCUGGAGAGGACCUAGUGGUGUUUCAAAAGCCAAAAAUGUAAAUAACUAUGUAUUUUUUAUUUUAUUUAAGUCGAUUCCUUAUAUUUCAUUUAAUAAUUUAAUUAAAUAAUAAUUAGAUAAUUUAAAAAAUAAAAUUUGAUUGAAAAUUUGACAACUUGUAAAGUUUUCAUUCUUAAAUUGAAUGUUAUUAUUAAAAAUUUUUAUUUAAUAGAAAUUAGUCUUUUAUUGAUUCAAACUUUUAAAGUAAUUAACACCGUCAUUACGAGUAAAUUAAAAUAUUCUAUGCUUUAUUAAAGUUUUCUUCCAUCGAA